rnacentral:rRNA from 1 species
UACGGGGGGGGCAAGCGUUGUUCGGAAUUACUGGGCGUAAAGGGCGCGUAGGCGGACUUCUAAGUCAGACGUGAAAUCCCUCGGCUCAACCGAGGAACUGCGUCUGAUACUGGAAGGCUUGAAUCCGGGAGAGGGAUGUGGAAUUCCAGGUGUAGCGGUGAAAUGCGUAGAUAUCUGGAGGAACACCGGUGGCGAAGGCGGCAUCCUGGACCGGUAUUGACGCUGAGGCGCGAAAGCUAGGGGAGCAAACGGG